ACGGAAGGCAACAGUGGGGAAUAUUGGACAAUGGGGGAAACCCUGAUCCAGCGACGCCGCGUGAGUGAAGAAGUAUUUCGGUAUGUAAAGCUCUAUCAGCAGGGAAGAUAAUGACGGUACCUGACUAAGAAGCCCCGGCUAACUACGGGCCAGCAGCCGCGGUAAUACGUAGGUGGCAAGCGUUAUCCGGAUUUACUGGGUGUAAAGGGCGCGUAGGCGGGGAAGCAAGUCAGAUGUGAAAUCCAUGGGCUCAACUCAUGAACUGCAUUUGAAACUGUUUUUCUUGAGUGUCGGAGAGGUAGAUGGAAUUCCUAGUGUAGCGGUGAAAUGCGUAGAUAUUAGGAAGAACACCAGUGGCGAAGGCGAUCUACUGGACGAUAACUGACGCUGAGGCGCGAAAGCGUGGGGAGCAAACAGGAUUAGAUACCCUGGUA
rnacentral:rRNA from 1 species